rnacentral:rRNA from 1 species
UACAGAGGUCUCAAGCGUUGUUCGGAUUCAUUGGGCGUAAAGGGUGCGUAGGCGGCGCGGUAAGUCGGGUGUGAAAUCUCGGAGCUUAACUCCGAAACUGCAUUCGAUACUGCCGUGCUUGAGGACUGGAGAGGAGACUGGAAUUUACGGUGUAGCGGUGAAAUGCGUAGAGAUCCGGAAGAACACCGGUGGCGAAGGCGGCCAACUGGACCAUUACUGACGCUGAGGCGCGAAAGCGUGGGGAGCAAACAGG